UGUAUACAUGUACAUUCCUCCUUUGAGAAGCCUGAGGCUGGGUGUAAAGCCAAAAUAUUAGGGAACAAAAUCCCCCAAGCCGCCAAGUCAGAAAUAUCUGCGGUGAAUACCUUUCCAUGAAAUGCCUCCAUGAAGUUCAAUUCAGACCAAUUACUGUUGCUAAGUCAACAAUUCAAGGAACACUCAGCCAGCAGAGUACAUCCCCUGAGAUGUUAUCUGACCUCUCAGUUGAAAGGUCAACGCAGACCGAGGAAUGCAUCAAGAGAGGAUGCCUGAUAUACAUCGUAAAACCACUGGGGCUAGACUAGCACAGCAUACACCCUGCCAACAUAACCACACACACUUCUCGUGCACAUAAACCCACACACAUACAGGUUUACUGUAAAAUACCCCCAAAAAUGCAUACUAUUACACACUCUUGCAGACCAAAAUACACAUAUACACUCACUUAUAAACAGGCAACACACACACACACACACACACACACACACACACACACACACUCACAGACACACACACACACACACUCUCUCACACACACACACACACACACACACACACACACACACACACACAGGACAAGAAUAAGAUAAAGCCUGCCAACUUCAGAUGCUAUCACCACUGCUGAGUGCUAGAUUCCUCACACACACACUCCUCAGACAAAGGAGCAUUAUUAAACUGCAGCAAAGGCAUGGAACUCAUGAUUGCUUAUCAAGAUCAUGGUAUAAUUUACUAUAUUAAGUUAAACUUGUUGGCUCAAUUAUUCUUCAGUUGUAAGACCUCGUAAGGGAAUCAAGCAUGGUGUGUUUCUGUUUCAACUUUAAGCAGGCUUCACAAGAAGAAAUCUCAAAGAAAACUUGCAGAACUAAACCACACCGCUGACAUUAAUUGUAUGACUGUGGAAGUCAGUGCUGCAGUCUUGUUUAUAGUUUGUGGUAUGCAGGUUGAUGUGAUCCACUUAUGGGGGAAAAAAUGUGUUUGUACAAUCACAUUGUGUGGAUAAAACCCAGGUUAUUUUUUAGGCUGGCAGUUGGUUCAGGGUUGAGGUUUGAAUACUUAGGAUAUGGUCAGAGGGUUAGACAUGUAGUGGUUGUGGUUAGAGUAAGACUUGAGGGAAUCAAUGGAAAUCAAUACAGUGUCCUCAGAAGUGACAAAAAGUGCAGGUGUAUAGGAGUCUUGUGUGGUUUUUUUUCGUUGUGUUUAUUUAUACACACGUGAUAAUGUGUUUUCACCUUUUUACGUGCGUUAAUGCUAGUGUGCAUUAGUUUCAUUGCAGUGUGUGCAAUAAUUACCAAUGGUGAACACAUUCAUUUUCUGUGAGAGUAUGUGUGUGUGUGUGUGUGUGUGUGUGUGUGUGUGUGUGUGUGUGUGUGUGUGUAUUCUCAGACUCACACUCAGUGCUGAAUGUGCACAUACCUGCCUGCCUCAACGCUGUGAUUGCCCUGUCUGAUUAGAAUGUGGUGAGUUUAUUUAAACUGGGGAAGGAAGUGCAAUAUUCAGUUCACUAAGAAGAAGAUACAACUCAACAGCACCCCAAAAACUCACAGUGAAUACUCGAGCAUAGCUGGAUAUCCACUAAUAUGUACAAUCUCAGCCUCUCAGUAUUGGCAGGUAAUCGCUUAAAAAUUAUUUACUUUAUAUUACUAUCUAUGGCCACUAUUGCACCAAAUAUCUAACACUUUUUCUAAUGUUUAAGACAUAGAAAGGUUAAACGUUAAUAUUUAUACUAUAUGUGAAGUGUUAAAAAAGCAAUAUGUAGUUUUCAGCUGCCACUACCAUGCUGCUGUUUUAAGAUUGCAACCAGGUGUGAGCUCGUACGUGUGCUCACUUGAACUCAUCAGUGAGCAUAAUCUGAAACCCAAACGCUUUCAUACAGAGAUCCCACAAUCAACGCGGAAACACCAGCAUGCCAGCUGUGGCUUUUCUCCAGACAUGUUCCGGCUCUGUUACUUCAACCCUCGUACCUUUCAUGCUCUGCAGCGAGCCGGCAUAUUGGCACAAUAGUCCCUGAAGAAAAGGGAUUGUUACAGCGGCUAUAGCCAGACAGGGAGACAGCUUCACACAACAUGCGCAAUUAUUUUGCAUUAUUGUGGGUCACAUAAGUUAGAGAGAAGCUGUGUACCUGAGUAUUGGUAAAACGACAAUAAAUCUAUAUUGAAUGUUAAGAAGCAAACAUUCAACAUAGCUGACUGGUCCUGCCUUGCAUCGAGGCUAAUAUAAACAAAUCGCUCCACAUUUGCUUUGUACUGUUACAUCCUUUCUUGCAGGCUAAAUCAACACUUUGACAUAAUACCAGUGGUACACAGAAUAGUAAUAUGGAUCGCGUUAGUUAGUGAAGUAAUGUGGAAAGCCAUAACGUUACAUGUAGCGGAUAGCAUUAGCAACUGCUCGGCGAGCUGACGUGACUCUCUCCGUGUUUCUCCAGCCUUUCUGUUGUUCACCGUUUUCACCAACAUCAUCUGAUUCUCAUUUGGCCGGACAGGCUUUAGCACAUAAACCUUUAUUGUUGUUUUAUCCUUAAGUGGAGUUUAUGUUGGACUUUGUGUUGUGCUGGGAGCUGGUUGUUUUAUGGUGUUGGUGGACUGCAUGUCGUUAGCUGCGGUGUUGUUGCAGUAUAUAGCAGAAUAGUGGCUGUACCAAGCAACAGAGAAAACAGGCGUGUGCUUCAUUUGUACUUCCUUGAGGCUACACCCCUUUGACAAUAAGGCAGUGAAAAUUUGCUUUAUUAAUAAGUGAUUUCAUUGGAAAGCUACAGCCCCUUUAAUGUGAUCUGAAUUUCACUCUUUGAUAUUUGUUCAUAUGGGCUACUACUGCAAGAUGUUGUGAAAUCCACAACAAAAUAAAUACAGCUGCUGUGGGCCUGAGGAGUAAAUAUGUUUUCAAAUCAUACUGUUGCACUGUUACAGGUAUGAGCAGAAGGGAUUGUAUAAAAUGAGCUAAAAAAAAGAUGGCACAUUUGGAAAGUUUGAAAGGAUUGCAGAACAGAUGUUGAGGAUUUGAUUAGCCAAUAGGUUUUGUUUUUACAGAGCGAGCCAGAGGUUGGUUUGAGUGCAGGGCUAACUACUGAGAGGAGAUAGCGAGAAAGUUAAAAAUAAUGAAAGAAUGUGAAGCGAAUUAUGGUAGACAGACUUCACCAUGUCUCCAGGGAGUCAUCAGUCUGUCUGCUGAUAAAAAAGAAGAUAUAGAUCUGGACCAAACCCGUCCACCACACCUCAGAACAUAAUCAUCCUCCAAAUAGUGUUGCAUGUACUUGUGUGGGAAUGUGGGGAGUACUGCACAUACUUCUGCUGUUGUAUGGUAUGAUGAAAAUGAGCAGGGGUUCAGCCUUUGAUCGUGUAUAAAAGACAGCCAGACAUUGGGUAAGGAGAGAGGACGGACCAAGAGAUGGAUAACAAAGUAAAGGGAUGGAGAGAGGGAUAACAAAGACAGAGACACGGGGGCCAAAGUAAGCAAGACCACUGGUGGAUUCUAUGAUCUAACCAGCAACCAGUGUGUGUGUGUGUGUGUGUGUGUGUGUGUGUGCGUGUGUAUGUGCGUGUGUAUGUGCGUGCGUGUGCGCGCACGCGUGUGUUUGUGUGUGUGUGUGUGCGUGCCGGUGCUAUUGUCCCACUCUCUCUCAUGUGUAACCAGCACACAGUAGUGAAAAACAUGUUUUGGAUUUAAGUGCUAUGUUCAUAGUGAGCAUGUUGAGAUAAGCACACACACACAUGCAUGCCCUUUUCCACAAACACUCAGAGACAUAGCCCUGCAACGGACGCUCUGCAUGGAAUGAUCUCUCUGCUCCAAAUCCUGACUCAGUGCAACGUUAUGUUCUUCAAAAGAGAACUGUUUUUCACAAUAGUGAUGGUCUAUAACCAGGCAUUCUUCUGGCCCUACACUGUUAGUACAUUAAAAUAUUUGCAUUAAUCAAUA